rnacentral:rRNA from 1 species
GUAGGGAAUAUUGGGCAAUGGAUGCAAGUCUGACCCAGCCAUGCCGCGUGCCGGAUGAAGGCCCUCAGGGUUGUAAACGGCUUUUAUUCGGGAAGAAGAGCAGGGAUGCGUCCCUGUGUGACGGUACCGAAUGAAUAAGCACCGGCUAACUCCGUGCCAGCAGCCGCGGUAAUACGGAGGGUGCGAGCGUUGUCCGGAUUUAUUGGGUUUAAAGGGUGCGUAGGUGGCUUUUUAAGUCAGUGGUGAAAUACAGCCGCUCAACGGUUGAGGUGCCAUUGAUACUGAAAAGCUUGAAACAAGUGGAGGCUGCCGGAAUGGAUGGUGUAGCGGUGAAAUGCAUAGAUAUCAUCCAGAACACCGAUUGCGAAGGCAGGUGGCUACGUUUGAUUUGACACUGAGGCACGAAAGCAUGGGGAGCAAACAGGAUUAGAUACCCGGGUAGUCC